rnacentral:rRNA from 1 species
UACGGAGGAUGCGAGCGUUAUCCGGAUUUAUUGGGUUUAAAGGGUGCGUAGGCGGGUUCUCAAGUCAGGGGUGAAAUGCCAUGGCUCAACCACGGAGCUGCCUUUGAAACUGAGGGUCUUGAAUUCGGAUGCCGUGGGAGGAAUGAGUAGUGUAGCGGUGAAAUGCAUAGAUAUUACUCAGAACACCGAUUGCGAAGGCAUCUCACGAAUCCGACAUUGACGCUGAGGCACGAAAGCGUGGGGAUCAAAC